UCUUCGAUGGUCUAGUGGUCAUGAUUUCCGCUUGUCAGUAGUCCAAUACUUGGAUUAAACAAGCGCGGGAGACCGGGGUUCGAUUCCCCGUCGGAGAG